GGAGGGUGCAAGCGUUGUCCGGAUUUAUUGGGUUUAAAGGGUGCGUAGGCGGCCUAUUAAGUCAGUGGUGAAAGGUAUCAGCUUAACUGAUGACGUGCCAUUGAAACUGACAGGCUUGAGUACAGACGAGGUAGGCGGAAUUUAUGGUGUAGCGGUGAAAUGCAUAGAUACCAUAAAGAACACCAAUUGCGAAGGCAGCUUACUAGACUGAGACUGACGCUGAGGCACGAAAGCGUGGGGGGAGCGAACAGGAUUAGAUACCCUGGUAGUCCACGCUGUAAACGAUGAUUACUGGAUGUGUGCGAUAGACAGUACGCGUCUGAGCGAAAGCGUUAAGUAAUCCACCUGGGGAGUACGAUCGCAAGAUUG
rnacentral:rRNA from 1 species